UGAGCUGUGCUUUUGGUCUGAUUUUGACUUU
rnacentral:piRNA from 1 species